AUCGCCGCGUCUGAGUCGCAACAGAUCGUGGGUCCCGUGCGAUGUGGCCCGUGAAACCCGUCAGAUCCGGAAGGAAGCAGCGGUAAGCGAUCAACCAUAUGCGCCGCGGGGAAGCCUGCCUCGGUUGUGACUCAGGAGCGGCGAU
rnacentral:SRP_RNA from 1 species